rnacentral:ncRNA from 1 species
GGGUUUAGAACGUCGUGAGACAGUUCGGUCCCUAUCUGCCGUGGGUGUACGAGUCUUGAGAGGAGCUGUCCCUAGUACGAGAGGACCGGGAUGGACGCGCCUCUGGUGGACCGGUUGUGGCGCCAGCCGCAUUGCCGGGUAGCUAUGCGCGGACGGGAUAACCGCUGAAAGCAUCUAAGCGGGAAGCCCCCCUCAAAACCAGGACUCGCUGAGAACCGUGGAAGACCACCACGUCGAUAGGCUGGGUGUGGAAGCGUGGCAACACGUGAAGCUUACCAGUACUAAUCGUUCGAUAGGCUUGAUCAA